ACACGAACCACACUUACCUUAUUCAUUUGAAAUGGAUGAGUAUUUAGCAAUUAAUUGGCGUGAGAAUCUGUUAACCGAUAACACUUACUUCUUCACACAGCAUGAUUAUGUCUCUUCGAAUAUGCACCAAUCACUCACAGGAGAUGUGGAGGAAAUGAUGACUACCCAGGUAAAAAAUAUUACUCUCAAUAUAUUGGGCCUAAAUGUAAAACUUCCCAGUUCAAUUCCAUUGAACAUCAAAGAUUUAUAAAUGCAUUAAAAGUGCAAAAAUCAGGAAGGC